AAAAAUAAUAAAAUAAAAAACAAAAAGAAACGUAGAAUAACAAUAUGUCACCCAAACUCCGUUGAGGGUGCCAUAACUAGAAUUGCCAUUGCAAGCAAUAGCGGAUGUCACCCUUCCCCCAUUGCCACUAAGCGGCAGCCAUUUCAAAAUUGUUUAACAGUGAAUGCACAUAUAUGCAUGGCAAUACAUCUUUCUGUAAAUUUUCAGUACAUUCAGAGCAUUUUAAAAAUUUCACAUUUCUGCUGUUUCCAUGGCAACGGCAGCCAUUUUGAAAAUUUCAAAGUCAAAAGUCUCAUCUUUACUUGCCAGUUAACAAUAAUAUCAAGUUUCAUUAAG
rnacentral:lncRNA from 1 species